rnacentral:rRNA from 1 species
CCUACGGGUGGCAGCAGUGGGGGAUAUUGCACAAUGGGCGGAACCCUGAUGCAGCGACGCCGCGUGAGUGAAGAAGCGCCUCGGGUCGUAAAGUUCUGUCAAGAGGGAAGAAAAUGACGGGAUCUGAAGUGAAAACCCCGGCUAACUACGUGCCAGCAGCCGCGGUAAUACGUAGGGGGCACGCGUGAUGCGCAUUUACUGGGGGUAAAAGGGGCGCAGACGGCGAGGCAAGCCAGAAGUGAAAGCUCGGGGGCCAACCCCGGGACUGCUCUUGGAACUGGGUGGCUGGAGUGCCGGAGGGGCAGGCGGAAUUCCUGGUGUAGCGGUGAAAUGCGUAGAUAUCAGGAGGAACACCGGUGGCGAAGGCGGACUGCUGGACUGCAACUGACGUUGAGGCGCGAAAGCGUGGGGAGCAAACAGGAUUAGAUACCCCGGUAGUC